UACAGAGGUCUCAAGCGUUGUUCGGAUUCAUUGGGCGUAAAGGGCUCGUAGGCGGCCAACUAAGUCAGACGUGAAAUCCCCAGGCUUAACCUGGGAACUGCGUCUGAUACUGGAUGGCUUGAAUUCGGGAGAGGGAUGCAGAAUUCCAGGUGUAGCGGUGAAAUGCGUAGAUAUCUGGAGGAAUACCGGUGGCGAAGGCGGCAUCCUGGACCGAGAUUGACGCUGAUGAGCGAAAGCUAGGGGAGCAAACGGG
rnacentral:rRNA from 1 species